AUGGCAAAGGCAUCCUGAAGCCUUCGUGCUCCCUGGGAACACACAAGCGCAGCUGCUCUCUGUCACCAUCAGUUCUGGGAUUGCUGCUCCCUCCCAUUUUUCCCGUGGUGGAUUCUGGUCUGACCAGGAACUGGAGAUCUUGUUCUGGUUAUUGGUUGCUAAGUGUUCUGAGGAGGGCUCCUUGCUGCAGGAUGGUCCUUGCUGCUCAGUGUGCAGGUGCUUGUAGAACCACAGGCUGUGAGCCUGGUAUUAGCAAGCAUGUGGAACCUUUGUGUCAUGUCCAGGGGAGAGCUGAGUCCCAUUGAAGGCUGGGGACAGAUGUCAUUCAGAGGGAUUUCCUGAUGGGGUAUUUCAGGAGCCCUGCCACUGAGCCCUAGGGCCUGCGCUGGGAUGGAAGGCUGAGGAUGGGUUCGUUUAAAAGGCAGAAGCCCUGCAGCUGAGACACCCAAGACCUGCUCAUUGCCUGGGCCUUGCUGCAGCAGGUAGCAGGCAGCCAGCUGUGUGAGCCUACGGCACGUGGCUCAGCACAACCUGUGCUCCAGAGGACGUCCAGGAGAGAUUAGCAGACAGCAAAAUUCACUGGUUUCAGUCUGUGGUGUGAUGGAAGGCAGAUCCUGUCAGAAACAUCUCUAUGUCAUCUGGUUGGUCACGACACCUACAGGUUCUCAGGUGGAGGUUCUCGUGUGGCCCCAGGGCUCUGUCACCACGGCUGGGAAAUGAGCGCGCAGUGAUUGACGCUUCCUGCCUGCAAACAUGGCUGCAAUAGUCAGAACCCAAGAUUUAAGGUCAGGCGGGAUGAAUCAUUUUCGGAGCCUGGCAGGCCUCCAAGUCACCCCCAUCCUGGAUAUUACCCUUCAUAAAGAGCACUGCGAGCCCAGAUGAUUCAUGCAAGCUGGAAAGCUUUUACCAAUAGUUUCCAAAUACGGAAAGAUGUGCCUGCAGUGUGGCAUAUUUUAGAACAGCAUCCACUCUGGAUUUAAGGGUUUCAGAUGGUGGACAAUCCAUCACAGUCUGCGACCGCCGUGGCUGAGUGCUCGGUGUUUGCUUUGAAGUGCCCCAUGCAUCUGCAGUCUCUGCUCCUCACUUCUUCCUGACGCCCUCCACGGUGACGUCUGUCAGGGAUGGAGUUUGCAAUGUAAUAACCUCAUUCUGCUGCAAAUCCUGAGGCUUCACGACUCAUCUGUCUGCCAGGCAAAGCGUUUCCUGACCUUUUUAAGAAAGCUGGAGACAGCGAAGCAGCCGGACUGGAGGGUGCCCCAUCUGCCUGGAACCAAAACAGCGUCGCUGAGACUCCUGGAGGGGAGGAAACUUGCAGCUCGGAGCCAGCAGUGCGGGCUGAGAGCUUGCAUGACCUCCCCUUCCCCCAGAGAGGGAAGAUUGGACUGGCUGCUAUUGUAUUUGGGCGUGUAAGUGAUGAUUUUCUCUUUCAAAAUCUCAUCAGCUGAUAAAGGCAAAUCCCAAAGAAGCUGAUGCUUGCAGGGGUGGGCUGGAUAUCCAGGGCUACUUUCUCUGAUAGUGUUGGAUAUGAGCAGUGUGUACCCCAUGUUUUGCACAAAGGAUGUUGGAGGUGUGAUGGCGGAAGGCAUUGCUUCCAUCAGUGUUUUCUGUGGCAAGUUUGAGAAUGGAAACCUAAAACCUGCAGCUUAGCUGGUGCUGUCGCAGAUGUCUUAGGUCACAGAUGUCCCAUUGGAGCAUGGCUGUCUCUUGUUAGUGAAAGCUGUCCUUGUUUCAGCUGGAAUAGAGUGGAUUGUCGCCUAACAGCUGGGAUGGUGCUCAGUUUUGGAUUUAGGAUGAUCCUCCUGGUCCAACUUGAGAUAUUCUGUGAUUCAGAAUGUGGGUAGCACACCAGUGGUUUUGUUGGUGCAGAGCAGUGCUGCAUGGAGCCAAGGACAUCUCAGCUUUUCCUGUUGCUCUGCCAGUGAGGGGAUAAAGAGCUGAGAGGGGACAGCACCAGGAUGGCAGACCAAAAGGACAUCCCAUACCUUAUGGCAUCAUGCUGAGCCUGGUGAGCAUCACAUUGUGCAUCACUUGUUCAGUAUAUUCUUUUAUUAUUAUCACUUGUUCAGUAUAUUUUAUUUAUUAUAUUUUAUCAUUAUCAUCUUCCCUUCCUUUUCUGUUCUAUUAAACUGUCUUUGUCUCAACCUAUGAGUUUUACCCUUUUCCCAGUUCUCUCCCAUCCCUGUAGGAAUGAGCAAACUGCUGUAUGGUGCUGAGCAGCCCACCAAGUACAAGCCACAGAGGUGGUAUGGGACACAUAGACACACACCCAAGCUGGCAGGGCCUUUGCUUCCACAAUCUCCUUUCCAUUGCAUGCCAUUCACUGUGUGGCUACAGCAGGAAGCACGUGGUACAUUUUGAGUUGCCCAAAGAGAUGUCAGUGCCCUACCCCUGCAGACAGCCAAAGUCAGGGGAUGGGCUGUGAGCACUGAUGGAGCUGUGGGUGUCCCUGCUCAGUGCAGAGCAGUGGGACCGGAUGACCUUUCAGGUCCCUUCCAACUCCAACAAUUCUAUGAUUCUAUGAUUCCAAACCCAAAGGUGAAGCAGAAGGGUUGGCUAACCCGCUCCAGUCCUCGCCUGUCUGGUGCCAUGGAGAAAGGCAUGAUUAAUUUGUUUAAAGCUUCACCAAGGAGAUGUGUGCUCUUCCUAUGCUGUGAAACCAGAGCCAGAGCCUUGGUCUGUAAUUCUUUUAAGGAGAAAUGACGUUUUUGGUCUUGAUUAAAGCAUUCGUUUA